GGCGGUCAAGGUGGUGUAACGGUUUAGCACGUCAGCCCGCGAUAGCUGGAGACCCGGGUUCGAUUCCCGGCUUCGCCA